AAGUAAAUGGCUCCGUUGUGUGGAUGGGUGCAGGGUUAACUUGGUUUAACGCUGCUAAAUUUGCCUAAAAGCGUAGUGUAGCCCAGACCACUGCCUCUCAGGACAGGGGUAG